AAAUAAGAAUGUCUAAGCCCCUGGAGGCCGAGAAGCAAGGUCUGGACUCCCCAUCAGAGCACACAGACACCGAAAGAAAUGGACCAGACACUAAUCAUCAGAACCCCCAAAAUAAGACCUCCCCAUUCUCCGUGUCCCCAACUGGCCCCAGUACAAAGGUAAGCACCUGUCGAAACAGCCAGGGAAGUGGG
rnacentral:sRNA from 1 species